rnacentral:rRNA from 1 species
AUUGAGCGCUGGCGGCAGGCUUAACACAUGCAAGUCGAGCGGGGGAAGGUAGCUUGCUACCGGACCUAGCGGCGGACGGGUGAGUAAUGCUUAGGAAUCUGCCUAUUAGUGGGGGACAACAUCUCGAAAGGGAUGCUAAUACCGCAUACGUCCUACGGGAGAAAGCAGGGGAUCUUCGGACCUUGCGCUAAUAGAUGAGCCUAAGUCGGAUUAGCUAGUUGGUGGGGUAAAGGCCUACCAAGGCGACGAUCUGUAGCGGGUCUGAGAGGAUGAUCCGCCUCACUGGGACUGAGACACGGCCCAGACUCCUACGGGAGGCAGCAGUGGGGAAUAUUGGACAAUGGGGGGAACCCUGAUCCAGCCAUGCCGCGUGUGUGAAGAAGGCCUUAUGGUUGUAAAGCACUUUAAGCGAGGAGGAGGCUCUUUUGGUUAAUACCCAAGAUGAGUGGACGUUACUCGCAGAAUAAGCACCGGCUAACUCUGUGCCAGCCGCCGCCGUAA